UAAAAUUGUCAUUUUACAUAUUUUGGUAAACAAAUUUGUAGCAGUUAAUAUAAUUAAUUACAUAAUUAGGAUACUUACUAGUAGCUAUUAGCAUUUUCAAAGUGUUUCAUCAUAUUAUUCUUUUUCUUUUUCUACUUGUAUAUUGAUCAAUAAUUAUUUGACCUGAUAAUAAAUUUAUGUAUACACGCAAUUACACGCAUGCUCCAUGUAUUUCUAAUGCAAACUUUAUUCGUAGUCCAAAAGCUUAGAAAAAUCAUUAUGGUUUCAGUUUUCUAAAUUCAAUCAUAAAAGAGAAAAUUGACUUAUCUAACCUUUACACACCAUGUAAGGACAGUAAGGUUGACGGUGGAUCCUUUUUCCCUUUUUAUCUUCAAAGCUAAUAAUUUUGAACAAGAACCUAACAAAACUCAUGUCAAUCAUUGUCCAUAAUCAAAACCCUCAACAAAAUUAAUAAUAUGUGAGUCAAUUUAUAUCAGAAAAAAGGGGCGUUGUUUUGGUUGUUCUUCAAAUCAUAUAUAUGGAAUCUGUCUUUCAAUUAUUCGUUACUAUUAUUUGCCAUUUCUUUGGAAUCAUAAUUCCCAGUUGCCCAUAUUUCAUUCUGACUUGUUUUGAUGCCCUCCAAAAAUUUUGUCCUGGGCUUUGAUGAAAUUAAAAAAAUAUAUAUAUUCUGCAAAAAUUUGAUCCAUUAAAGAAAUGCCCCCCACAUAUUAAUUGGUGUGGACUCUGAUUUAUGUAUGGAUAGGAAUAGAUAUUUUGUUACACAGUUAACAGUGUAAAAGACAAUAAAAACUCCUGUUGCCAUCAACACACAUACACACCCCUACUAAGCUCUUAUCUUCAAUUUUCUAAGCUAUUAUUUUGUGAUUACAUUUUUUAAAAGAUAAAAGAAUAAAAUGUUUUUUUUAUUAGAAUCAACAUUAUUAGGAUGAUCCACAAUCUUAGAUAUUUAUCCAUUCACCUCGGAACGUAAGGCUGAUUUUAGGAUUGAUGAUAAAUGGAGAUUUUAAAAAUAUAAAUUAGCCUAAUCCAAAUCCACAUGUGCAUGUAUCUUUGAUGGCAAGAGCUUGGAAAGUUAUGCUUUUUUAUUAUUUCUCAUGCCAAAAGCAUGUCUCAUCAUAACUAUUGCAUAUUAAUUGCGAUGGCUUUAUCAAGAAAAAGAAAAAGGAACGCAAUUGAUGGGCAGCUAAAGCUAUAGAUGGAAGAUGCCAUUCUGAAUUGAGUCAGAUUUUACUUUUAAAGCACGUAUGUAAUUUACACACGCAGCCUUGCUUUGUCGAUGAAUCAUAAAAUCAAAUAUCUUAUUAAAGUCCUUGAUCAUUUAUAAUUUCCCAAAAUGACAAAUUAAUUAAUUGUUAUAUAUAAAUUUCUCUGGAUUGAGGAGUUUUCGGCUUACUGGCUACGGAGUGUGGACUAAAAAAGUCCAUCAAUAUUAUUACAUUUGCUGUAUUCUGCAACAGUUUCAAGCAGAAAAUUCCCUAGUUAUAGCAUCAACAUCCAUUUUCUUUAACCCCUUCGCUAUCUUUUUGGCUUUCAGGUCACUCAGCCGAUAAAUCAAAACCAGUCUACCAUCCUUGAUUUCCCGUUCAAGUUCUUUCUCAAUCUAAUCUCCCUUACCAGCUCUCGAGCUCUUCUUCAGAGACAUGCAUGUUAAAAAUAUUCUUUCCUCUUUACACUCUUCUACGGAGAUUAAAAGGGUAUUGCCACACCAACACUGAGCAAUCAUGGUCGUUGUUUCCUCUGAGUUGAAUGCUAAGUUAGACCAAAUGAAAGUACAGUCAUGUCAAAAAGGCAAGGAACUUGAUACAAAUGAAGGAGGGUUUGGUUUUUUCAUGCCGAAAAAUGAGAAUAAUGAUUCAUUUGAUAAUCCUGUAUUUUUUUUUUUUUUGUAUUAAAUAUGUAUAAAUCAUAAAAAUUACCUUCUUACAAUUUAUGAUAUGUUAUAUAUAUUUUAUUUUUAUCAAACUCGUAUAUAAUUUUAUUAAAAUUUUAAAUUGUAUUAUUUUUAUAUUUUUUAUUCCAUUUUUAUAACAUAUAAUUAUAUUAUGUUUAAAAUUUUUAAAUCUAGUAAAAUCUCGUCGAUGUUCAAUAUAUAAAAAAUAACGUGAUAAACAAAUUUUUAUCAAGCUGUUGGCUAUGCCGGCAUCCCCCUGACGAUAGAUCUUCUGCCAAAUGUACGAAUCAAGCCAUGUUCCAAUUGUAUGUUUCAGGGUUCCUUUUUUUUCAAAAUAAUUAUAAUUCUCUCCUAGUUAUAUGUGAGACAAAUGUAUAUGAUAAACAGAUAACUUGUUUCCCUAAGAAACGUCCUUUUACCUUCUUUGAAAAAAAGAAAGAAAAAUGUAUUGGUGUCUGCCCUGUAGUAGCUGAGCUGUUGAAGAAGAGAGGGUUGACUUCGCCACUGUAUCAAAGGGUUUUCCUGUGGCGGAGCGUUACUGAUCGAAACCAUGCAUGUGACCUAUAUGCCCUACCUAACACACUCUCUUUGUUUUUUCUUAUUCUUUUUUGUCGGAUGGAACCUAAAACAAAUUUGAUUUGAUGCAACCCGAAGUUUCCAUCUAAGUUGGAAAUAAUCAUAUAUAAUUAAUACGUAACAAACUAAUAAAUUGGGUUAAGGGCUUGGCUUAACA
rnacentral:lncRNA from 1 species